AUACGGAGGGUGCAAGCGUUAUCCGGAUUUACUGGGUUUAAAGGGUACGCAGGCGGUAAUCUAAGUCAGUGGUGAAAGCCUACAGCUCAACUGUAGAACUGCCAUUGAAACUGAAUUACUUGAGUAUGGUAGAGGUAGGCGGAAUACAACAUGUAGCGGCGAAAUGCAUAGAUAUGUUGUAGAACGCCGAUUGCGAAGGCAGCUUACUAAACCAUUACUGACGCUCAUGUACGAAAGCGUGGGGAGCGAGCAGGAUUAGAAACCCUAGUAGUCC
rnacentral:rRNA from 1 species